GACGAACGCUGGCGGCGUGCUUAACACAUGCAAGUCGAACGGAAAGGCCCUGCUUUUGUGGGGUGCUCGAGUGGCGAACGGGUGAGUAACACGUGAGUAACCUGCCCUUGACUUUGGGAUAACUUCAGGAAACUGGGGCUAAUACCUGAUAGGAGCUCCUGCUGCAUGGUGGGGGUUGGAAAGUUUCGGCGGUUGGGGAUGGACUCGCGGCUUAUCAGCUUGUUGGUUGGGUAGUGGCUUACCAAGGCUUUGACGGGUAGCCGGCCUGAGUGGGGGAACGGCCACAUUGGGACUGAGAUACGGCCCAGACUCCUACGGGAGGCAGCAGUGGGGAAUAUUGCACAAUGGGCGGAAGCCUGAUGCAGCAACGCCGCGUGCGGGAUGACGGCCUUCUGGUUGUAAACCGCUUUCGCCUGUGACGAAGCGUGAGUGACGGUAAUGGGUAAAGAAGCACCGGCUAACUACGUG
rnacentral:rRNA from 1 species